rnacentral:rRNA from 1 species
UCAAGUAAUUAAGUGCAUGUGGUGGAUGCCUUGGCAGUCAGAGGCGAUGAAAGACGUGAUAGCCUGCGAAAAGCUCCGGGGAGGCGGCAAAUAUCCUUUGAUCCGGAGAUGUCUGAAUGGGGGAACCCACCUACUUUAAGGUAGGUAUUGCAACAUGAAUACAUAGUGUUGCAAGGCGAACGAGGGGAAGUGAAACAUCUCAGUACCCUUAGGAAAAGAAAUCAAUUGAGAUUCCCUCAGUAGCGGCGAGCGAACGGGGAUCAGCCCAUUAAGUUAUGUGUGUUUUAGUGGAACGCUCUGGGAAGUGCGAACGUAGAGGGUGAUAUUCCCGUACACGAAAGGGCACACAUAAUGAUGACGAGUAGGGCGAGGCACGUGAAACCUUGUCUGAAUAUGGGGGGACCAUCCUCCAAGGCUAAAUACUCCUGACUGACCGAUAGUGAACCAGUACCGUGAGGGAAAGGCGAAAAGAACCCCUGUGAGGGGAGUGAAAUAGAUCCUGAAACCGCAUGCAUACAAGCAGUGGGAGCACCUUCGUGGUGUGACUGCGUACCUUUUGUAUAAUGGGUCAGCGACUUAUAUUCAGUAGCGAGGUUAACCGUAUAGGGGAGCCGUAGAGAAAUCGAGUCUUAAUAGGGCGUUUAGUUGCUGGGUAUAGACCCGAAACCAGGCGAUCUAUCCAUGAGCAGGUUGAAGGUUGGGUAACACUAACUGGAGGACCGAACCCACUGUCGUUGAAAAGCCAGGGGAUGACUUGUGGAUAGGGGUGAAAGGCUAAUCAAGCCUGGUGAUAGCUGGUUCUCCCCGAAAGCUAUUUAGGUAGCGCCUCGGACGAAUACCAUAGGGGGUAGAGCACUGUUUCGGCUAGGGGGUCAUCCCGACUUACCAAACCGAUGCAAACUCCGAAUACCUAUGAGUACUAUCCGGGAGACAGACUGCGGGUGCUAACGUCCGUAGUCAAGAGGAAAACAAUCCAGACCGCCAGCUAAGGCCCCAAAAUCAUAGUUAAGUGGGAAACGAUGUGGGAAGGCAUAGACAGCUAGGAGGUUGGCUUAGAAGCAGCCACCCUUUAAAGAAAGCGUAAUAGCUCACUAGUCGAGUCGGCCUGCGCGGAAGAUGUAACGGGGCUAAAACUAUGUGCCGAAGCUGCGGAUGUAUACUUUGUAUACGUGGUAGGGGAGCGUUCUGUAAGCCGAUGAAGGUGUGUUGAGAAGCAUGCUGGAGGUAUCAGAAGUGCGAAUGCUGACGUGAGUAACGACAAAACGGGUGAAAAACCCGUUCGCCGAAAGACCAAGGGUUCCAGUCCAACGUUAAUCGGGGCUGGGUGAGUCGACCCCUAAGGCGAGGCCGAAAGGCGUAGUCGAUGGGAAAAUGGUUAAUAUUCCAUUACUUCUGUGUAAUGCGAUGAGAGGACGGAGAAGGCUAAAUCAGCCUGGCGUUGGUUGUCCAGGUGAAAGGAUGUAGGCAUGUAUCUUAGGCAAAUCCGGGGUACUCUAUGCUGAGAUCUGAUAGCAAGCUGUACUUGUACAGCGAAGUGGUUGAUGCCAUGCUUCCAGGAAAAGUCUCUAAGCUUCAGUUACACAGGAAUCGUACCCGAAACCGACACAGGUGGUCAGGUCGAGUAGACCAAGGCGCUUGAGAGAACUCUGCUGAAGGAACUAGGCAAAAUGGUACCGUAACUUCGGGAGAAGGUACGCUGUUGUUGGUGAUGGAACUCGCUUCCUGAGCUGACGACAGCCGCAGAAACCAGGCCGCUGCAACUGUUUAUUAAAAACAUAGCACUCUGCAAACACGAAAGUGGACGUAUAGGGUGUGAUGCCUGCCCGGUGCUGGAAGGUUAAUUGAUGGGGUUAGCGUAAGCGAAGCUCUUGAUCGAAGCCCCAGUAAACGGCGGCCGUAACUAUAACGGUCCUAAGGUAGCGAAAUUCCUUGUCGGGUAAGUUCCGACCUGCACGAAUGGCAUAAUGAUGGCGGCGCUGUCUCCAGCAGAGGCUCAGUGAAAUCGAAAUCGCUGUGAAGAUGCAGUGUACCCGCGGCUAGACGGAAAGACCCCGUGAACCUUUACUGCAGCUUGACACUGAACUUUGACCUUACUUGUGUAGGAUAGGUGGGAGGCUUUGAAGCUGGAACGCUAGUUCCAGUGGAGCCGUCCUUGAAAUACCACCCUGGUAAUGUUGAGGUUCUAACUCUGUCCCGUGAUCCGGGACGAGGACCGUGUCUGGUGGGUAGUUUGACUGGGGCGGUCUCCUCCUAAAGAGUAACGGAGGAGUACGAAGGUGCGCUCAGCGUGGUCGGAAAUCACGCGUAGAGUAUAAAGGCAAAAGCGCGCUUAACUGCGAGACCCACAAGUCGAGCAGGUACGAAAGUAGGUCUUAGUGAUCCGGUGGUUCUGUAUGGAAGGGCCAUCGCUCAACGGAUAAAAGGUACUCUGGGGAUAACAGGCUGAUACCGCCCAAGAGUUCAUAUCGACGGCGGUGUUUGGCACCUCGAUGUCGGCUCAUCUCAUCCUGGGGCUGAAGCAGGUCCCAAGGGUAUGGCUGUUCGCCAUUUAAAGAGGUACGCGAGCUGGGUUUAGAACGUCGUGAGACAGUUCGGUCCCUAUCUACCGUGGGCGCUGGAAAUUUGAGAGGAUCUGCUCCUAGUACGAGAGGACCAGAGUGGACGAACCUCUGGUGUACCGGUUGUGACGCCAGUCGCAUCGCCGGGUAGCUAUGUUCGGAAGGGAUAACCGCUGAAAGCAUCUAAGCGGGAAGCCUACCUCAAGAUAAGAUUUCCCUAGGACUUUAUGUCCUCUAAAGAGCAGUUCGAGACUAGGACGUUGAUAGGUUGGAUGUGGAAGCAUAGAGAAUAUGUGAAGCUGACCAAUACUAAUUGCUCGUGAGGCUUGACUAU